UACUCUGAACAACCGAGUUAGAAGUUUCUC
rnacentral:piRNA from 1 species